rnacentral:rRNA from 1 species
UACGAAGGGGGCGAGCGUUGCUCGGAAUCACUGGGCGUAAAGCGCACGUAGGCGGCUUUCUAAGUCAGGGGUGAAAUCCUGGAGCUCAACUCCAGAACUGCCUUUGAUACUGGGAAGCUCGAGUCCGGAAGAGGUGAGUGGAACUCCGAGUGUAGAGGUGAAAUUCGUAGAUAUUCGGAAGAACACCAGUGGCGAAGGCGGCUCACUGGUCCGGUACUGACGCUGAGGUGCGAAAGCGUGGGGAGCAAACAGG